AGCUCUGUAAGCGUAUACCCAAGUUGUUGCAGUUAAAAAGCUCGUAGUCGGAUGUUGGUGGGUGAGGCGGGGCGUCUUCGCGGACGACCCCGUAUCAGCCGCCUUUGUGGAGGGGGGCAUGUGGCCGCUUGAGUGCGGACAUUGUGUCGCUGCCACCGUUUACUGUGAAAAAAUUAGAGUGUUCAAAGCGGGCGUUUGCCAUGAAUACCUUAGCAUGGAAUAAUAGAAUAGGACUUGUGUUCUGUUUUGUUGGUUUGUGAGGACCAAGUAAUGAUUAAGAGGGACGGUUGGGGGCAUUUGUAUUCCGGCGUCAGAGGUGAAAUUCUUGGAUUGUCGGAAGACAAACGGCUGCGAAAGCGUCUGCCAAGGACGUUUUCA
rnacentral:rRNA from 1 species